rnacentral:lncRNA from 1 species
CAUGGUCUGUGGAGUGAAUAGAUACACAAUUGUAACCAGAGAGAGUUUCACCGCCACUGUCAUUAAUAACAGGAAGGAACAAUCAUUGCUGCUAUUGAGACAAGCAACUGCUCAGGGUCAGAAAGCAAAAGGGUCUCAUACCAUCAAAGUGACUUCAUAACAACCCCUUUUAAGAGGAUCUCAUUUUUUGGCAUGAAUGAUUGCUGAAAUUUCAGCACACUGAUGACUGCUGCUUUUGACCAAAGAUGAGGACAAAAUUGUGUGUAAAUAUUUUUCUACCCUUGUAACCGCUUUGACCUUUUAAUUCUGUUCAAGUAAUGGUUUGUUUGUUUUUUUAGAUACUGUUGGUAAAUUGUACCCAGACAACAAUACAAAAACAGAAAAUCUCUAUCAAGCUUUGAAAAUGAGUUUCAUGUUUGUCUCUGCAAAUAAUUUUACCAAUUUUCUUACAAAAAGAUAUAGUUGCAUUUAAAGAAAUUCUAAAUUGACAGCAUUUGUGGUUUAUGCUUCAGGUAUGAAAAGACAAUGAUAG